UACGUAGGGUGCGAGCGUUGUCCGGAAUUACUGGGCGUAAAGAGCUCGUAGGUGGUUUGUCGCGUUGUUCGUGAAAACUCACAGCUCAACUGUGGGCGUGCGGGCGAUACGGGCAGACUGGAGUACUGCAGGGGAGACUGGAAUUCCUGGUGUAGCGGUGGAAUGCGCAGAUAUCAGGAGGAACACCGGUGGCGAAGGCGGCAUCCUGGACCAAUAUUGACGCUGAGGAGCGAAAGCCAGGGGAGCAAACGGG
rnacentral:rRNA from 1 species